CUAAUUCAAGAGAAAUUUCUGCUCCCAGCAUUAAAAUAAAUACCAAUAUAUUAAAUAAUAUUGUGCAUGACCAUAAGCAAAGUCAAGAUGCCUACAAUGGUUAAAAGGCUUAAAUAAAGAUAAAACGUAUGCCUAAAUAUAUCCAAUAAGACCACGAAUUGUGCCCUCGAAACCGCAACUGAUUCGAUUGUUCCCAAUAUCAACAGACGAAUUCCUCAAAUAUUUUCAAAGGUAACUUUUUUAAACAAUCUUAAGACGUUUAAGAACCUUGAUUAUACCUAAUUUCUUUCGCAACAUCUACCUAAUACUUCCAUAUGUUUGUUGCAGGAUUAAAACUC